rnacentral:tRNA from 1 species
GAGCUCGUGGCGCAACGGUAGCGCGUCCCACUCCAGACUAGAAGGUCACGAGUUCAAGUCACGUCGGGCUCA